rnacentral:rRNA from 1 species
CCUACGGGAGGCAGCAGUGGGGAAUAUUGCACAAUGGGCGCAAGCCUGAUGCAGCGACGCCGCGUGAGGGAUGACGGCCUUCGGGUUGUAAACCUCUUUUAGCAGGGAAGAGCGCAAGUGACGGUACCUGCAGAAGAAGCACCGGCUAACUACGUGCCAGCAGCCGCGGUAAU